AUCUCUGUUCUCGGCCUUUUGGCUAAGACCAAGUGUAGUAUCUGUUCUUAUCAGUUUACUCUUUUAGCAGUUUUCAAAUAUACUAUAUAGUAUUAUUGGACUUCCCUGGUGGUUCAAUGGUAAAGAAUCCUCCUUCCAAUAAAGGAGGUGCAGAUUCAAUCCCUU
rnacentral:snRNA from 1 species